GAUGAACGCUGGCGGCGUGCUUAACACAUGCAAGUCGAACGAUGAAGCCCAGCUUGCUGGGUGGAUUAGUGGCGAACGGGUGAGUAACACGUGAGUAACCUGCCCUUAACUCUGGGAUAAGCCUGGUCAACUGGGUCUAAUACCGGCUAGGAGCGUCCACCGCAUGGUGGGUGUUGGAAAGAUUUAUCGUUUUUGGAUGGCCUCGGGGGCUAUCAGCUUGUUGGUGAGGUAAUGGCUCACCAAGGCGACGACGGGUAGCCGGCCUGAGAGGGUGACCGGCCACAAUGUGGCUGAGGCAGGGCCCAGACUCCUACGGGAGGCAGCAGUGGGAAAUAUUGCACAAUGGGCGCAAGCCUGAUGCAGAGACGCAGCGUGAGGAAUGACGGGCUUCGGGUUGGAAACCUCUUUCAGUAGGGAAGAAGCGAAAGUGACGGUACCUGCAGAAGAAGCACCGGCUAACUACGUG
rnacentral:rRNA from 1 species